UCGAAAUCGUCGAAAUCGGUAGACGCUACGGACUUAAAUCCGUUGGCUUAAUAGACCGUGAGGGUUCAAGUCCCUCUACCCCUA
rnacentral:tRNA from 1 species